UACGAAGGGGGCUAGCGUUGUUCGGAUUUACUGGGCGUAAAGCGCACGUAGGCGGAUCGUUAAGUCAGGGGUGAAAUCCUGGAGCUCAACUCCAGAACUGCCUUUGAUACUGAAGAUCUCGAGUCCGGAAGAGGUGAGUGGAACUCCGAGUGUAGAGGUGAAAUUCGUAGAUAUUCGGAAGAACACCAGUGGCGAAGGCGGCUCACUGGUCCGGUACUGACGCUGAGGUGCGAAAGCGUGGGGAGCAAACAGG
rnacentral:rRNA from 1 species